GUAAAGGUUUAUGGGCACAAGGGCCACUUAGCGACAUUCCAUAACAUACAAUUGGGUAAAUGAAGUAACAUAGACCUGAAAUGUGUAAGGAAAAACAUAAAGUCAAUCCCCAAAAACCUGAACUCGCAUUCAGAAAUGUAUUCAGGUCUACAAAAGAUGCACAGGUGGAGAUAUAAAGAUGACAGGCGUGCACAUGCUCCCUAGAGAACCAGCAACAACUCAUCAGAUUUAUUCAAUAAUGAUCCUUCCGCAGGUUCACCUACGGAAA
rnacentral:misc_RNA from 1 species